rnacentral:rRNA from 1 species
AUUGAACGCUAGCGGAAUGCUUUACACAUGCAAGUCGAACGGCAGCGCGGGUGCUUGCACCUGGCGGCGAGUGGCGAACGGGUGAGUAAUGUAUCGGAACGUGCCCAGUAGCGGGGGAUAACUACGCGAAAGCGUAGCUAAUACCGCAUACGCCCUUCGGGGGAAAGGUGGGGAUUCUUCGGAACCCGUCACUAUUGGAGCGGCCGAUAUCGGAUUAGCUAGUUGGUGGGGUAAAGGCCUACCAAGGCGACGAUCCGUAGCUGGUUUGAGAGGAUGAUCAGCCACACUGGGACUGAGACACGGCCCAGACUCCUACGGGAGGCAGCAGUGGGGAAUAUUGGACAAUGGGCGCAAGCCUGAUCCAGCCAUGCCGCGUG